rnacentral:rRNA from 1 species
AUUGAACGCUGGCGGCAGGCUUAACACAUGCAAGUCGAGCGGGGGAAGGUAGCUUGCUACCGGACCUAGCGGCGGACGGGUGAGUAAUGCUUAGGAAUCUGCCUAUUAGUGGGGGACAACAUCUCGAAAGGGAUGCUAAUACCGCAUACGUCCUACGGGAGAAAGCAGGGGAUCUUCGGACCUUGCGCUAAUAGAUGAGCCUAAGUCGGAUUAGCUAGUUGGGGGGGUAAAGGCCUACCAAGGCGACGAUCUGUAGCGGGUCUGAGAGGAUGGUCCGCCACACUGGGACUGAGACACGGCCCAGACUCCUACGGGAGGCAGCAGUGGGGAAUAUUGGACAAUGGGGGGAACCCUGAUCCGGCCAUGCCGCGUGUGUGAAGAAGGCCUUAUGGUUGUAAAGCACUUUAAGCGAGGAGGAGGCUACUUUAGUUAAUACCUAGAGAUAGUGGACGUUACUCGCAGAAUAAGCACCGGCUAACUCUGUGCCAGCAGCCGCCGUAACAC